rnacentral:rRNA from 1 species
AAAGUGCGAUAAGUAAUAUGAAUUGCAGAUUUUCGUGAAUCAUCGAAUCUUUGAACGCACAUUGCGCCCUCUGGUAUUCCAGAGGGCAUGCCUGUUUGAGCGUCAUUUCUCUCUCAAACCCCCGGGUUUGGUAUUGAGUGAUACUCUUAGUCGGACUAGGCGUUUGCUUGAAAAGUAUUGGCAUGGGUAGUACUGGAUAGUGCUGUCGACCUCUCAAUGUAUUAGGUUUAUCCAACUCGUUGAAUGGUGUGGCGGGAUAUUUCUGGUAUUGUUGGCCCGGCCUUACAACAACCAAACAAGUUUGACCUCAAAUCAGGUAGGAAUACCCGCUGAACUUAA